UACGUAGGCAGCGAGCGUUGUUCGGAAUUACUGGGCGUAAAGAGUGUGUAGGCGGUGCUCUAAGUUCGGUGUGAAAUCUCCUGGCUCAACUGGGAGGGUGCGCCGGAAACUGGAGUGCUUGAGCGUGGGAGAGGAAAGCGGAAUUCCUGGUGUGAGCGGUGAAAUGCGUAGAUAUCAGGAGGAACACCUGUGGUGUAGACGGCUUUCUGGACCAUAGCUGACGCUGAGACACGAAAGCGUGGGUAGCAAACAGG
rnacentral:rRNA from 1 species